UCUUUUGGGGGUUUAUUAGUAGUGUCUCAUAUGUUUUUAAAACCAAAGAAGGAGAGCAGAUUUUGGGCAUGAUAAUACACAAAAUAUCAAAUUUCUUUUACACAACAUAACCAUUAUUUUAGAAAGAGUUUUUUUAUUGGGUUUAAAAGUAUGGAUUGAGAAUUUUACAUCAGUAUUAUGUUUGCAAUUUCCAACACUCUCUAGAGUUUAUUUACAUCAGAUAUUUAAGCAUUCUUGAAGGUUUUUUAUUGGGGGUAUUAGUUUUCACCUUCAAGGAUUUAUUUACCAGUUGUUUGGGGUUUUUUGGAGGAGUUGAAACAUCACUUCCCAACACGCUUCCAACAAAUAUCAAAUCAUAGGACAUUGCAUUUCAUACAAACAAAUGCAUGUAGGUCUAUCAAGUUGCACUGGGUUUCCCCGCUGCCUAUUAUUUCCAGGUAGUAGGCAUUUCGUGCAGGGUCGGUGGUUCUUCGUGUCAAGAAGAAUUGCGGGGAAGCGUAAAUGGUUCAUGGUUGGGUGGAAUAGCGCUCGAGCCAUGUUCUCAUCUCUCAAGCUGCGAAUGACAAAUGCGAUCGAUAGCACUUGGAGGCACAUGAUUACUUUCAUAUCUUUAUUAUCCUUUGUAUAAGCUUGUACAUUGUAUAAUGUUCUUGUAUUGAGUUAUCUCUUGGGCAUGAGGGCCUAUGAUGUAAUUAUCAUUCAUGUCUUGUACAUGUACUUACACUUGGAUUAAGCACUACUUAAUUGAGAUGUAUUGACAUUAAUUGUGUACAUUGAGAUAUUAUCUUUCAUUUUUUA